AACAAACGCUGGCGGCGUGCCUAACACAUGCAAGUCGUACGAGAAAGUCGGCUUCGGCCGAUGAGUACAGUGGCGCACGGGUGAGUAACGCGUGGGUAAUCUGCCCCCCGGUCAGGAAUAACCCGCCGAAAGGCGGGCUAAUACCCGAUAACACUGACGCUCUGCGGAGUGUCUUUCAAAGAAGGCCUCUGUUUACAAGCUUUCGCCGGAGGAUGAGCCCGCGUACCAUUAGCUAGUUGGCAGGGUAAUGGCCUACCAAGGCAACGAUGGUUAGCUGGUCUGAGAGGAUGGCCAGCCACACUGGAACUGAGACACGGUCCAGACUCCUACGGGAGGCAGCAGUGAGGAAUCUUGCGCAAUGGGAGAAACCCUGACGCAGCAACGCCGCGUGAGUGAAGAAGGCCUUCGGGUCGUAAAGCUCUGUCAGAUGGGAAGAAAUGGAUGGGGGCUAAUAUCGUCCAUCCUUGACGGUACCAUCAGAGGAAGCACCGGCUAACUCCGUGCCAGCCGCCGCGGUAAGAC
rnacentral:rRNA from 1 species